rnacentral:rRNA from 1 species
AACGGGGGGGGCAAGCGUUAUUCAUCCUUAUUGGGCGUAAAGGGCUCGUAGGCGGUUUGUCGCGUCGGGAGUGAAAACUCAGGGCUUAACCCUGAGCCUGCUUCCGAUACGGGCAGACUAGAGGUAUGCAGGGGAGAACGGAAUUCCUGGUGUAGCGGUGAAAUGCGCAGAUAUCAGGAGGAACACCGGUGGCGAAGGCGGUUCUCUGGGCAUUACCUGACGCUGAGGAGCGAAAGUGUGGGGAGCGAACAGG